CUGGGGAGCUGCGAGCUCGGCGUCGCGGCCGCUCGGCCGGCACUGCGGACAGCUUGCUGCAGCGUCCGGGGAGGAAACCGAACGGCACCUUCCAAAUAUAGCUCCUACCGCGCAUCUGCCCGCCGAGCGCUGCAGGGGGAAGAAAGAGAAACACAAUCCCUUCUCAUCUUCUCUGGUGGCCUUGCCUAACUUCUCAGUGCCUCAGUUUGCCAGGUUCUGGGAUCGUAAAGCCCUGUAAAAGACUCGGAGAUCCUGGCACUCGGGGGAGGAAGGUAAGAAUUAAAACAACAAGAACAACUGGCUCCCAGACCCCUCUACCACCUCUUGGACCAGCACUGUCCUUUCCCCUCCUCUUCGCAUGCUAUCAUGUGCGUGUGAUCACUCUGUGUGUCCUCACCUCCCAGGACCCCUCUUUAGGUUCCCCCUGUCCUGCUUUCCUUCUCUCCAAGGCCCAGGUAUGCUGCAGCCAUCCCUGCUUCGGCCAGGCUUCCCUCCUCUGCUUCCCUGCCUGCUCUGCUCUGUGCAAGGGCUCAGACAGACAAGGUGGUUGUCCCCGAUUCCUUCUUUGUGUCCCCGAGCUUUCUUCAUCUAGGGAGAGCCCCUUGCUCUGGGCACAGACCACAGUCAGGCUCGGCAGAGCCUGGGAGCAGGGACCACUCACUGGGAGCCUGGAAAAUUCAGGAGUAUGAAACCUGCACGAGGAGAAAAAGCAUUCAGGUUCCCCAGGACUUUGGGCAGGAAGCCAGACCCUCACCCCAGCUGUCCUGUCCCAGCAAGAAGCUGGCCACUGUCUGUUGGCCAUACAGGACCUGGGGGCUUGGAGUGACGGCUGUCCCCAGAGCAUCGCUCUCAGCUCAGCAGCGUUCCCCGCACCAACCGGAGAGAGAAUUAUCCACUGUUUGUUUGCCCUGAUUUGUUUUUAACAAAACUGUGCUGCUGGCUGUUUAUCACUUCAUUUUCCUCCAGGAGAUGAGGCAAGCGAAGGAGAUCAGCCAGAAUAAAACAUGACCUUUA